AAGACACAGGAAUCCUCCUCAUCAAAAACAUGACUUUGAUCUGCGUCCUCAUCUGGACUCUCCUCUGCUGCUGCUUCACAGAGGUCAGAGGUCAGGUCACAGUGACUCAACAGCCUGUAGCAGUGAGAGCUGAUCUGGGAGGAUCUGUCACCAUCAACUGUAGAACCAGUCAGAAUGUUUAUAGCUCUGACCGUUUAGCCUGGUACCAACAGAAAAAUGGACAAACUCCUAAGCUGCUCAUUUAUUUUUCUAGCACUAAAGCAUCAGGGACUCCAAGUCGUUUUUCAGGCAGUGGAUCAAACUCUGACUUCACUAUGACCAUCAGUGGAGUUCAGGCUGAAGAUGCUGCAGUUUACUACUGUCAAAGUUACCACAGCGGCGGAGUGUUCACACAGUGA